CCUACAAUCAGAGAUAGAAAAAGCUGUC
rnacentral:piRNA from 1 species